CUCAGCAUGAUGAAUGUUAUACCGCCCCAGUCUGAUUGAAAUAUGACUGAUUGGUUUGUUUCUGAUUUUUU
rfam:Biomphalaria glabrata isolate BB02 unplaced genomic scaffold LGTN_random_Scaffold43, whole genome shotgun sequence.